AACUUUUGACAAUGGAUCACUUGGCUCUCGCAUCGAUGAAGAACGCAGCGAAAUGCGAUACGUAAUGUGAAUUGCAGAAGUCAGUGAAUCAUCGAAUCUUUGAACGCACCUUGCGCCCUUUGGCAUUCCGAGGGGCACACCCGUUUGAGAUCCGUGACAUUCUCAAACACCUUCUUGGUUUCUUGACCAGGAAGGCUUUUGGACUUUGGAGGCUUUUGCUGGCCUUCCUUUGGUGAAGCCAGCUCCUCUGAAAUGAAUUAGUGGGGUCUGCUUUGCCUAUCCUUGACGUGAUAAGAUGUUUUCUACGUCUUGGGUUUUGCACUGUUCCUGCUUCUAACCGUCUCAUAGAAGACAAUGGUCAAGUGAUUGCCACUUGACCCACAAACCUUGACCUCAAAUCGGGUGAGACUACCCGCUGAACUUAAGCAUAUCAAUAAGCGGAGGCU
rnacentral:misc_RNA from 1 species